rnacentral:rRNA from 1 species
UACGAAGGGGGCUAGCGUUGCUCGGAAUCACUGGGCGUAAAGCGCACGUAGGCGGAUUGUUAAGUCAGGGGUGAAAUCCUGGAGCUCAACUCCAGAACUGCCUUUGAUACUGGCGAUCUUGAGUCCGGGAGAGGUGAGUGGAACUGCGAGUGUAGAGGUGAAAUUCGUAGAUAUUCGCAAGAACACCAGUGGCGAAGGCGGCUCACUGGCCCGGUACUGACGCUGAGGUGCGAAAGCGCGGGGAGCAAACAGG